rnacentral:lncRNA from 1 species
AAGUUGAGGUCGAGGAGGCCGAGAAGUUGAGGUCGAGGAGGCCAAGAGGUAGAGGCUGAGGAGGCUAAGAAGCUGAUGUCGAGGAGGCCAAGAAGUUGAGGCCAAGGAGGCUAAGAAGUUGAGGUCGAGGAGGCCAAGUUGUUGAGGUCGAGGUAUGGUCGAACAGUUGAUUGGAGUGAAACUCCGUUCAUCAACUUGGGUUUUGAUGUGUCCGUGGGGUAGGGGUUCCUCUUGGGAACUCAUCGUUCACCACCCGACCAAGUUGACAGGAGUGAAACUCCGUUAAUCAACUUGGGUUUGAGGCGUUUUGGAGGGUAGGGGUUCCUCUUGGGAACUCGUCGUUCACCGCCCGAUCAA